rnacentral:sRNA from 1 species
AUUUAAAAUAAAAUUGUUAUACUUAGUGGAUGAUUGGUUCAUCUGUAACUGUAGAUUUAUUGCUGUAGAAUUUUUGCGGUAUGUGUGAUGGCCGUAACUGUAGGUUUUAUUGCUGUAGAAAUUAGACUGUAGGUUUUAUUAAUAUAAUAUUAUUACUCAAAGAAAUUGGCUGUAGAAAUAAAAUUUUUGUUUUAUGUAUUUUUA